UCUCCAUGUUUCCAACUUCUUAACCUUCCCUCUUCCACCAUUAAUUCUACCACCCAAGAGUCACACAAGUUAAUACAUUAGCCCCUUCAAUCCUUUUCUCACAUUAUACUUCACAACAAGAAAAAAAGGAGAGAGGGUGCCGAGAAGUGGAGAGAGCCGAGAGAGAAGGAAGAGACCUUGCUACCAUUCUUGCUCCUCCAUCACCAAGUUCAAUCCUUUUGAGGUGGUUCGCACGCUCGUUAAAGUCGGAUCAAGAAGUUUGUUAAGGAAACUACUAAGCUUUCGAGGUUAAGCGUGGACGGGAGACGGAGGAUGUUGAGCAUUGGACCGAGACCAUAUUCAAU